AAAUUGAAGAGUUUGAUCAUGGCUCAGAUUGAACGCUGGCGGCAGGCCUAACACAUGCAAGUCGAACGGUAACAGGAAGCAGCUUGCUGCUUUGCUGACGAGUGGCGGACGGGUGAGUAAUGUCUGGGAAACUGCCUGAUGGAGGGGGAUAACUACUGGAAACGGUGGCUAAUACCGCAUAACGUCGCAAGACCAAAGAGGGGGACCUUCGGGCCUCUUGCCAUCAGAUGUGCCCAGAUGGGAUUAGCUUGUUGGUGAGGUAACGGCUCACCAAGGCGACGAUCCCUAGCUGGUCUGAGAGGAUGACCAGCCACACUGGAACUGAGACACGGUCCAGACUCCUACGGGAGGCAGCAGUGGGGAAUAUUGCACAAUGGGCGCAAGCCUGAUGCAGCCAUGCCGCGUGUAUGAAGAAGGCCUUCGGGUUGUAAAGUACUUUCAGCGGGGAGGAAGGUGUUGUGGUUAAUAACCACAGCAAUUGACGUUACCCGCAGAAGAAGCACCGGCUAACUCCGUGCCAGCAGCCGCGGUAAUACGGAGGGUGCAAGCGUUAAUCGGAAUUACUGGGCGUAAAGCGCACGCAGGCGGUCUGUCAAGUCGGAUGUGAAAUCCCCGGGCUCAACCUGGGAACUGCAUUCGAAACUGGCAGGCUUGAGUCUUGUAGAGGGGGGUAGAAUUCCAGGUGUAGCGGUGAAAUGCGUAGAGAU
rnacentral:rRNA from 1 species